UUGGUGUGAAUUGCAGAAUCCCGUGAACCAUCGAGUUUUUGAACGCAAGUUGCGCCCAAAGCCAUUUGGUUGAGGGCACGUCUGCCUGGGCGUCACGC
rnacentral:rRNA from 1 species